GAUGAACGCUGGCGGCGUGCCUAAUACAUGCAAGUCGAGCGAACAGACGAGGAGCUUGCUCCUCUGACGUUAGCGGCGGACGGGUGAGUAACACGUGGAUAACCUACCUAUAAGACUGGGAUAACUUCGGGAAACCGGAGCUAAUACCGGAUAAUAUAUUGAACCGCAUGGUUCAAUAGUGAAAGACGGUUUUGCUGUCACUUAUAGAUGGAUCCGCGCCGCAUUAGCUAGUUGGUAAGGUAACGGCUUACCAAGGCAACGAUGCGUAGCCGACCUGAGAGGGUGAUCGGCCACACUGGAACUGAGACACGGUCCAGACUCCUACGGGAGGCAGCAGUAGGGAAUCGUCCGCAAUGGGCGAAAGCCUGACGGAGCAACGCCGCGUGAGUGAUGAAGGUCUUCGGAUCGUAAAACUGUGUUAUUAGGGAAGAACAAAUGUGUAAGUAACUAUGCACGGCGUGACGGUACCUAAUCAGAAAGCCACGGCUAACUACGUG
rnacentral:rRNA from 1 species